rnacentral:rRNA from 1 species
AGUGAACGCUGGCGGUAGGCCUAACACAUGCAAGUCGAACGGCAGCACCGUAAGAGCUUGCUCUUACGGGUGGCCAGUGGCGGACGGGUGAGGAAUACAUCGGAAUCUACUCUUUCGUGGGGGAUAACGUAGGGAAACUUACGCCAAUACCGCAUACGCCCUACGGGUGAAAGCAGGGGAUCUUCUGACCUUGCGCGAUUGAAUGAGCCGCUGUCGGAUUAGCUGGUUGGCGGGGUAAAUGCCCACCACGGCGCCGAUCCGCAGCUGGUCUGAGAGGAGGGUCGGCCACACGGGAACUGAGCCACGGACCAGACUACUGCGAGAGGCAGCAGUGGGGAAUGUUAGACAAUGGGCGCGAGCCUGAUCCAGCCAUACCGCGUGGGAGAAGAAGGCGUUCGGGUUGUAAAGCCCGUUUGUUGGGAAAGAAAAGCAGCAGGUUAAUACCCCGCUGUACUGACGGUACCCAAAGAAUAAGCACCGGCUAACUUCGUG